GUGCUUCAUUUCCACAUGAAGCAAGCAGCCUGUGUUGUUGUGACCUGGCAUUGUGACAACUGUACAUGCCCAGGUGUUUCAUUUCUGAGCGCAAUCUUGGUUUUUGCUAUGCUCUUCCGUGGCUCUGUUGUCCUGUAGGCACACUUGAAUUGGUGAGCCGAGUAUCUUGGAAUACUGCGAACUGAUUACUACAUUCAGGUCACAUUGGCUCUCUGAGUACAUGUCCGCUGUGUAAGAUCGACAGGACUGGAUUCACAGCAGAGAGAAGAGAGUGACCCCUUUCCCUAUUUGGAACAACAUACCUCUUCCUUCCUUUAAGGGAGUUGAAGGCUGAUACUGGGACGAUCCACCAGGUGGCGCUGCAAGACUGCUUAGUGUGGGUUAUACUCAGAAAAAAAGAA